rnacentral:lncRNA from 1 species
CUCUCUCUCCUGUACCAGGCAUGCCUUUUCUUCUUCCUCCAUCGCAGCCUCAUCCUACGCCUCGUCUUCUUUCUUCUUCCUUCUUUUUUCUUUUUCCUCAAUCACGACCUCUUUUGCAGCGGCCGCGGCCUCCUUCUCCCUUUUCCUACGCGAUGGAUGCGUUCUCCCUCCACCUCACCCUCCACCACGACCUCCUCCCCCUUCCCCCUUCUAGAACUCCGUUGCAGCCUCCUUUCCCAACGCUGGUAUGUGUAUUUGGUUUUUAUGGUCUGUUGGUCUCUCCCCCUACUAAUUUCUUCUUCUUCAUCAUCAUUCCAUCUCCUCUUCUAUUGGUUUCUCCUGCAUUUUGGUGUUAGGGAGAUAGAGCAAAAAAAAAUGUUUUUUUAACAAUGUUCAGAUCUUAAGGGUUCUUGUGC